rnacentral:rRNA from 1 species
AUGCACCAGGUACGCAAACUUGCCGAGUUCUAUCCAGAAGACUUUUCAAGUGCUGACUUGAUACACCUUGAACUACAACUUGAUAACUAUAUUGGUGACAUGAGAAAAGAUGAGAACUUUCAAGGCCUUGGAAAUCUUGUUGAUCUCUCAGUUAAGCUUGUUCAAACAGGGAGGCAUAUAGUUCAUAAUUUUGUGUACUUGCUUCUAAAAUUGGUAUUGAUUCUACCAGUGGCAACAGCAAAUGUUGAGAGAGCAUUUUCUGCCAUGACUUUAGUCAAAAACAAGUUGAGAAAUAAGAUGUGUGAUAGUCUUUUGGAUGAUUGUCUGGUCACAUAG